rnacentral:rRNA from 1 species
GAUGAACGCUGGCGGCGUGCCUAAUACAUGCAAGUCGAGCGAACAGAUGAGGAGCUUGCUCCUCUGACGUUAGCGGCGGACGGGUGAGUAACACGUGGAUAACCUACCUAUAAGACUGGGAUAACUUCGGGAAACCGGAGCUAAUACCGGAUAAUAUAUUGAACCGCAUGGUUCAAUAGUGAAAGACGGUUUUGCUGUCACUUAUAGAUGGAUCCGCGCCGCAUUAGCUAGUUGGUAAGGUAACGGCUUACCAAGGCAACGAUGCGUAGCCGGCCUGAGAGGGUGAUCGGCCACACUGUAACUGAGACACGGUCCAGACUCCUACGGGAGGCAGCAGUAGGGAAUCUUCCGCAAUGGGCGAAAGCCUGACGGAGCAACGCCGCGUGAGUGAUGAAGGUCUUCGGAUCGUAAAACUCUGUUAUUAGGGAAGAACAAAUGUGUAAGUAACUAUGCACGUCUUGACGGUACCUAAUCAGAAAGCCACGGCUAACUACGUG